rnacentral:SRP_RNA from 1 species
CACGUAGGUAGGGUUGGGAGGGUCGCCUCCUCCCCGUAGCCGAAGGCGAAAUGCGGGACCAGUAACUCCGCUAAUACCUGAGCCGGAUUACGUAUCCUCCAGACCAGCGGUGAAUACCGCCCUACGGGGUCGGUGGUAGCGGGGGACCCUCUGGAAGGAGGGUCUAAACCGCUUUAGCGGGGGGAACCUGGCCAGGCCCGGAAGGGAGCAACCUAACCUCCGACACCGACGUUCGUAGGUCACCGGUAGGAGGACGGUCUGGAGUUAAUUACGUAAUCCGGUAGGGUGUUAGCGGGGAGCUACGUG